rnacentral:rRNA from 7 species
AAAUUGAAGAGUUUGAUCAUGGCUCAGAUUGAACGCUGGCGGCAGGCCUAACACAUGCAAGUCGAACGGUAACAGGAAGCAGCUUGCUGCUUUGCUGACGAGUGGCGGACGGGUGAGUAAUGUCUGGGAA